AUUUGGGACUGCACCUAGGCUAGGUUGCUAUUUUCCCCAACAACUACAACUUCAAACUGAUGUUUUAGUAGAUUAUGUAACUGAACUCGCAAAUGCUUUGAACAAAAUCCAUGUCCAAGUUUUCUCUAAAAUUCCAGAUCCUGAUUCUGACACAGGCAACCACAGUCUGCUCCCCGGUGACUGGGUUCUGGUCAAGAAAUUUGUGCGAAAACAUACCCUGGAACCAAGAUUUGACGGACCGUUCCAAGUUCUCCUGAUCUCCCCUACCUCUGUCAAAUUGGCCGGAAGGCCUAACUGGAUCCACGCUUCCCACUGCAAGAAGACACCUGCCCCAGAGGAAGCUAACUCUAUGCAACCAUGUGCCUCUGGUACAUUAUCUCCUUAGUUGGCCUUCCUUAAAGCCCAGCAGGUGGCCAUCACCAAAGAUGCUAGUGGGUACACCUUCUGGUAUAAUUCAUCAUGUACCCAUGUGGCUACAUUCACUUUUGAUUACUGUGAUAUUGUAGAGUGCCCAUUCCCUAAGUCACAGAUUCAAGCCAUUUAUAAAGAUAUACCACAAGCAAAAGACCCUUACGUUUGUGCAGUAGAUGAACAAUGGGGUUGUGACUGUAACUACUGGGGGGCUGCGGGAUGGAAUACUGGGCCUGCCUGGGGUUAUAAACCCAAAAGUGCUUUAUCUAAGAUAGACAAUCAG
rnacentral:lncRNA from 1 species